rnacentral:rRNA from 1 species
UACGUAGGGGGCAAGCGUUGUCCGGAAUCAUUGGGCGUAAAGCGCGUGUAGGCGGCCAGGUAAGUCCGUUCUGAAAGCCCGGGGCUCAACCCCGGGAGGCGGAUGGAUACUGCUUGGCUCGAGUCCGGAAGAGGCGAGUGGAAUUCCCGGUGUAGCGGUGAAAUGCGCAGAUAUCGGGAGGAACACCAAUGGCGAAGGCAGCUCGCUGGGACGGUACUGACGCUGAGACGCGAAAGCGUGGGGAGCAAACGGG